AGCCAAUGAUGAGCUAUUUUAAUUUUCCAAUACCUGGUAUGAAAACUGUGCUGGCAGUUAAUGAUUUCUGAUAUCAGCCGAGGCUC